CCUAGUGAAGAGUCCAGAUGUAGACUUAAAGAGCUCUGGAAUCUCCUCCAAGGGUUCAGCCAGAAGCCAUCUGACUGGCUAUGACCAGUAUUGGGGACUUUAUUCUUCCAAAGGCAGUCUAUCCAAUUUUUGGACCACUCUGAUGGUGUCAGAGGCCUUCUGUAGAUUGAGCUCAAAUAACUCACUUCUAGUUGUCUUAGGUCAACAAUGUGUGGCCACAGAGAUUAAGUCAAACUCCUCUUCAUCUCUGUGCUGUUCCUGAAUUUGCCAGCCUUCCAGGUUUCUGAGUUGUUGAUAAACACCGCACAGGAGACAUGAGGACAGAACCCUUCAGUGGAGACCUGUUUGGAUAUUGCAGGGGCUUUCUGUGCCCCGCCUAUGCGUGAUUUCAGCGCUGUGGAUUGCCAUUCGUGCCAUGGCGAAUGUAUGGCAUUUAGAACAUCUUGGAUUUCCCAUCACCCCUCACCUUUCUGCAUCUAUGUUGGCCUUAUUCAUAUAACAAACCUUGGCAAUCUUGUUCAUGUGAAAAGUGGUGGAGCAAAUAACUCGGAACAUGUUACCUAUUCCAUUGACUCUGCAACUUCCAAGCAGGGCAGUUCGACUUGGAUAUACAAACCCACUUUCAGAGGCAUUUGUAGCAGUGUUGGCAACUGAUUUCAGUGGUCCAGUGUCCAGAUAAUUGGAGUGGCAGUGGAGGCUGAUGUCCGAAUAGUCCGAAUAGUCCCUGAGAUGGUGUGUUCUGGACCUCAGGUACUCCAGUGGCAAGCUGCUGGUUCCUCACCAUCCUGAUUGUGACAAAGGUCACAUGAUUAUCUGCGAUGUUUCAGGAGUCAUUUCUACAUACUCAAUCUAGAGUCCUGCCUUCAGCCCUUCCAAUAAUUUUUAAAGUACUUAAUUCCAGUAUUAACUCCCUUUGUGCCUCAAAAUUCCUAUGGUGAUUUCUGAUUCCUGC
rnacentral:lncRNA from 1 species